GUGCCAGCAGCCGCGGUAAUACGUAGGGAGCGAGCGUUGUCCGGAUUUACUGGGCGUAAAGGGCGCGUAGGCGGUCUGUUAAGCGUGAAGUGAAAUCUCCAGGGCUCAACCCGGAAACUGCUUUGCGAACUGGCAGACUAGAGGAAGGUAGAGGUAAGUGGAAUUCCCGGUGUAGCGGUGACAUGCAUUGAUACCGGGAGGAACACCCAUGGCGAAGGCAGCUUACUGGACCUUAUCUGACGCUGAGGCGCGAAAGCGUGGGUAGCAAACAGGAUUAGAAACCCGGGUAGUCC
rnacentral:rRNA from 1 species